ensembl:lncRNA
GUUUUACAUGCGAUGCUGUGAAAGAAAAACACUAUUUCAAUGAACAAUGUGUUGACCAGGAUGUAGGUGUCUUGUUUAAUGAUUACCCGUUACCUCUUCAAGAAGUUACCUCUUCAAGAAGUUCCUAUCCUUUGUGGGGGGUAAUCACAUUCAAAGACAACCCUAUAGCUGUAGCUGUUCUUCAUUCUAUUUACAUUGUGUCAGGUUAAUACAAAACAGACAAUUGAUUAACUCAUCCACUCUAUCCCUUGCUAUUUGUAUUGAUCUGUCAGAAAACAAUUUUAUUUUACUAGGCAAGUCAGUUAAGAACAAAUCCUUAUUUUCAAUGACAGCCUAAGAACAGUGGAUUAACUGCCUGUUCAGGGGAAGAAUGACAGAUUUGUACCUUGUCAGCCCGGGGAUUUGAACUUGCAACCUUUUGGUUACUAGUCCAAUGCUCUAACCACUAGGCUACCCUGCCGCCCCAGGGCAGCCUAGUAAAUAUGUAAUUAUGAAGAGAUAAGAUCUGUGAAUAAAGAUAGGGCCUGGUCUAUUCUUCUCUUAAUGCAGGCUGUGCAGGGUAGGGUUGAUAGGAUUCAUGCUUACUGUAUAAUGGUCUUCCAGUACCUUAGGAGUUGUACUCAAAGAAGAAAAUGUUCUCCACAUGGUUGCACACUUAUCCUUCAUGUGAUGUGAUUCAGAAAUAGCACAUAGUCCUCUAUGAUGAGACAACAAUGAAAGGAUCUGCAUGGCCACGUUGGCUGCACCAUGUGAUGGGGUCCUUGUUGUUCUCUGUAGUGCAGGAUUGGUACAAUGACAUGCCUCUGAGUACCAGGAUGACCAUCAAAGGCAGCAGGCAUUGAUCCGUAUCUUCAAACACUGCAUUACAAAAUUGAAUUAAAGAGACAUUUAGUGCACAAACAUUUAGACAUCAAAACCUCAGCUGUUGCCUGGAGACUAGCGAAACCGGCUAAGUAGAGAGAGAGAGAGAGAGAGAGAGAGAGAGAGAAUGGAUGGAUGGGCAGACUGAACUGACAUACAUACAGACAGAGGGUAAGGAUGCACAAGGACUGAAAUUGCCCCUCCUUGUAAGAGGCCCAGGUGUACCCUGUUAUCCACUGCCUGUAAUUCAAUCUGCCUGCUGAAUUCACUGGUGGAGUAUGCAGUAAUUCAUGUUUGGCCCUUUGUCACAAUUUGGCCUUUUGUCAAGGCACUUUUUUGAGGUCAAUUACUAUUGAAAGUUUAUUUAUAUACACAGAUAAAUAUAUUUUCCAACUUUAAAAAAUGACAUCCUCACACUUCAUUGUUUUCAAUUGUCUUCAAUUUAUCAUUGUUCAAUAUAGCACAAUGAUUGGUCAUGGAAAGUUAAUUUGAAGUGGG